rnacentral:rRNA from 1 species
GUCUUUUUGGUAUUUAAUAUAAAGUCUAACCUGCCCACUGAAUAAUUUUUAAAGGGCCGCAGUAUUUUGACUGUGCAAAGGUAGCAUAAUCAUUAGUCUUUUAAUUGAAGGCUGGUAUGAAUGGUUGAAUAAAAUGCAAGCUGUGUCAUAAAAAUUAAUAAUUGAAUUUAACUUUUUAGUUAAAAGGCUAAAAUUUAAUUAAAAGACGAGAAGACCCUAUAGAGCUUUAUAUAAUAAUUAUUUAAAUUAUUAAGAUUUUUAAAAUUUAAUUUUUAUAUUGUAUUUUGUUGGGGUGACAAUAAAAUUUAAAAAACUUUUAUUUAAAAUUUACAUUAAUUUAUGAUUAAAUGAUCCAUUUUUAUUGAUUAUAAAUUUAAGUUACCUUAGGGAUAACAGCGUAAUUUUUUUUGAGAGUUCUUAUCGACAAAAAAGAUUGCGACCUCGAUGUUGGAUUAAGAGUAAUUUUGGGUGUAGAAGUUCAAAAUUUAAGUCUGUUCGACUUUUAAAUUCUUACAU